AUACCUAAUGGCAGGGCAGACACUAUGAUUAAAAGUUGUUUUUUUUUUCCAGCGCAAUGGAUAUCCAUUGCCCUCCAGAUGUGAUGACUCUGUAAUUUUCCCAAAUGUGGGAAAAUGACAGCAUAAAUUGUGGUAGUGGGAGACUAUGAUCACAUUCUCCCC
ensembl:snRNA Gm23509 predicted gene, 23509